rnacentral:rRNA from 1 species
GGGUUGUGAGGUUAAGCGACUAAGCGUACACGGUGGAUGCCUAGGCAAUCAGAGGCGAUGAAGGACGUGCUAAUCUGCGAUAAGCGUCGGUAAGGUGAUAUGAACCGUGAUAACCGACGAUUUCCGAAUGGGGAAACCCAGUGCAAUUCGUUGCACUAUCGUUUGAUGAAUACAUAGUCAAACGAAGCGAACCGGGGGAACUGAAACAUCUCAGUACCCCGAGGAAAAGAAAUCAACCGAGAUUCCCCUAGUAGCGGCGAGCGAACGGGGAGCAGCCCAGAGUCUUAAUCAACAUUAGCAUCAGGAGAACGGUCUGGAAAGGCCGGCAGUAAAGGGUGAUAGCCCCGUAUCCGAAGGUGUUAGUGUUGUGAACUCGACGAGUAGGGCGGGACACGUGUUAUCCUGUCUGAAUAUGGGGGACCAUCCUCCAAGGCUAAAUACUCCUGAUUGACCGAUAGUGAACCAGUACCGUGAGGGAAAGGCGAAAAGAACCCCGGCGAGGGGAGUGAAAUAGAACCUGAAACCGUGUACGUACAAGCAGUGGGAGCCCCACCACCAAAGCAUUUUCUGGUGUUGAGGACAACUUUGAAGUGACAUUCAACACGCGUUGGCGGAGCGUUUUUUGCGACGCCCAACACACAAAACAAGCAGUGAAUGUGCUUUGGGGUGGGGUGACUGCGUACCUUUUGUAUAAUGGGUCAGCGACUUAUAUUCUGUAGCAAGGUUAACCGUAUAGGGGAGCCGUAGGGAAACCGAGUCUUAACUGGGCGAAUAAGUUGCAGGGUAUAGACCCGAAACCCGGUGAUCUAGCCAUGGGCAGGUUGAAGGUUGGGUAACACUAACUGGAGGACCGAACCGACUAAUGUUGAAAAAUUAGCGGAUGACUUGUGGCUGGGGGUGAAAGGCCAAUCAAACCGGGAGAUAGCUGGUUCUCCCCGAAAGCUAUUUAGGUAGCGCCUCGUGAACUCAUCUUCGGGGUAGAGCACUGUUUCGACUAGGGGGUCAUCCCGACUUACCAACUCGAUGCAAACUACGAAUACCGAAGAAUGUUAUCACGGGAGACACACGGCGGGUGCUAACGUUCGUCGUGAAGAGGGAAACAACCCAGACCGCCAGCUAAGGUCCCAAAGUCAUAGUUAAGUGGGAAACGAAGUGGGAAGGCUCAGACAGCCAGGAUGUUGGCUUAGAAGCAGCCAUCAUUUAAAGAAAGCGUAAUAGCUCACUGGUCGAGUCGGCCUGCGCGGAAGAUGUAACGGGGCUAAACUAUGCACCGAAGCUGCGGCAGCGAUAUGUAAAUAUUGUUGGGUAGGGGAGCGUUCUGUAAGCCUGUGAAGGUGUACUGCGAGGUAUGCUGGAGGUAUCAGAAGUGCGAAUGCUGACAUAAGUAACGAUAAUGCGGGUGAAAAACCCGCACGCCGGAAGACCAAGGGUUCCUGUCCAACGUUAAUCGGGGCAGGGUGAGUCGACCCCUAAGGCGAGGCAGAAAUGCGUAGUCGAUGGGAAACGGGUUAAUAUUCCCGUACUGGUGAUAAUUGCGAUGGGGGGACGGAGAAGGCUAGGCUAUCCGGGCGACGGUUGUCCCGGUUUAAGGAUGUAGGCAGGUGAAUUAGGCAAAUCCGGUUCACUAUAUGCUGAGGUCCGACGACGAGUCACUACGGUGAUGAAGUAGCUCAUGCCCCGCUUCCAGGAAAAGCCUCUAAGCUCUAGAUUAUCAUUAAUCGUACCCCAAACCGACACAGGUGGUCAGGUAGAGAAUACUCAGGCGCUUGAGAGAACUCGGGUGAAGGAACUAGGCAAAAUGGUGCCGUAACUUCGGGAGAAGGCACGCUGGCGCUAGGUGAAGUCCCUCGCGGAUGGAGCUGAAGCCAGUCGCAGAUACCAGCUGGCUGCAACUGUUUAUUAAAAACACAGCACUGUGCAAACACGAAAGUGGACGUAUACGGUGUGACGCCUGCCCGGUGCUGGAAGGUUAAUUGAUGGGGUUAUCCGUAAGGAGAAGCUCUUGAUCGAAGCCCCAGUAAACGGCGGCCGUAACUAUAACGGUCCUAAGGUAGCGAAAUUCCUUGUCGGGUAAGUUCCGACCUGCACGAAUGGCGUAAUGAUGGCCAGGCUGUCUCCACCCGAGACUCAGUGAAAUUGAACUCGCUGUGAAGAUGCAGUGUACCCGCGGCAAGACGGAAAGACCCCGUGAACCUUUACUAUAGCUUGACACUGAACAUUGAGCCUUGAUGUGUAGGAUAGGUGGGAGGCUUUGAAGUGUGGACGCCAGUCUGCAUGGAGCCAACCUUGAAAUACCACCCUUUAAUGUUUGAUGUUCUAACGUAGCCCCGUUAUCCGGGGUGCGGACAGUGUCUGGUGGGUAGUUUGACUGGGGCGGUCUCCUCCCAAAGAGUAACGGAGGAGCACGAAGGUUGGCUAAGCAUGGUCGGACAUCAUGCGGUUAGUGCAAAGGCAUAAGCCAGCUUGACUGCGAGAGUGACGGCUCGAGCAGGUACGAAAGUAGGUCUUAGUGAUCCGGUGGUUCUGAAUGGAAGGGCCAUCGCUCAACGGAUAAAAGGUACUCCGGGGAUAACAGGCUGAUACCGCCCAAGAGUUCAUAUCGACGGCGGUGUUUGGCACCUCGAUGUCGGCUCAUCACAUCCUGGGGCUGAAGUAGGUCCCAAGGGUACGGCUGUUCGCCGUUUAAAGUGGUACGCGAGCUGGGUUUAGAACGUCGUGAGACAGUUCGGUCCCUAUCUGCCGUGGGCGUUGGAAGAUUGAAAGGGGCUGCUCCUAGUACGAGAGGACCGGAGUGGACGCACCACUGGUGUUCGGGUUGUCAUGCCAAUGGCAUUGCCCGGUAGCUAAGUGCGGAAGAGAUAACCGCUGAAAGCAUCUAAGCGGGAAACUUGCCUUGAGAUGAGUCUUCCCUGACCCUUAAAGGGUCCUAAAGGAACGUUUAAGACUAAGACGUUGAUAGGUUGGGUGUGUAAGCGUAGCGAUACGUUGAGCUAACCAAUACUAAUGAACCGUGAGGCUUAACCUGACAACACCGAAGGUGUUUUAG